CCCGGUGCUAUGAGCGGAGGGGCCACACCCGUUCCCAUUCCGAAUACGGAAGUUAAGCCCUCCAGCGCUGAUGGUACUUACUGGGCAACUAGUUGGGAGAGUAGGCCAGUGCCGGGU
rnacentral:rRNA from 1 species